UACAGGCUUAACACAUGCAAGUCGAGGGRAACGGCAUCAAGCGCUUGCGCYUGAUGGACGUCGACCGGCGCACGGGUGAGUAACGGGUAUCCAACCUGCCCCACACUAAGGGAUAACCCGCAGAAAUGUGGACUAAUACCUUAUAUUUUCCACCAAGGGCAUCGUCGAUGGAACAAAGAUUUAUCGGUAUGGGAUGGGGAUGCGUCCGAUUAGGUUGUUGGCGGGGUAACGGCCCACCAAGCCUUCGAUCGGUAGGGGUUCUGAGAGGAAGGUCCCCCACAUAGGAACUGAGACACGGUCCUAACUCCUACGGGAGGCAGCAGUGAGGAAUAUUGGUCAAUGGGCGUGAGCCUGAACCAGCCAAGUAGCGUGUAGGAAGACGGCCCUAUGGGUUGUAAACUGCUUUUAUGCGGGGAUAAAGGAGUCCACGUGUGGAUUUUUGCAGGUACCGCAUGAAUAAGGACCGGC
rnacentral:rRNA from 1 species